rnacentral:rRNA from 1 species
UACAGAGGUCUCGAGCGUUGUUCGGAUUCAUUGGGCGUAAAGGGCGCGUAGGCUGCGGGGCAAGUCGGGUGUGAAAUCUCAGAGCUCAACUCUGAAACUGCACUCGAUACUGCUUUGCUUGAGGACUGGAGAGGAGAUUGGAAUUCACGGUGUAGCAGUGAAAUGCGUAGAUAUCGUGAGGAAGACCAGUGGCGAAGGCGGAUCUCUGGACAGUUCCUGACGCUGAGGCGCGAAGGCCAGGGGAGCGAACAGG